GACGAACGCUGGCGGCGUGCCUAAUACAUGCAAGUCGAACGAACUCUGGUAUUGAUUGGUGCUUGCAUCAUGAUUUACAUUUGAGUGAGUGGCGAACUGGUGAGUAACACGUGGGAAACCUGCCCAGAAGCGGGGGAUAACACCUGGAAACAGAUGCUAAUACCGCAUAACAACUUGGACCGCAUGGUCCGAGCUUGAAAGAUGGCUUCGGCUAUCACUUUUGGAUGGUCCCGCGGCGUAUUAGCUAGAUGGUGGGGUAACGGCUCACCAUGGCAAUGAUACGUAGCCGACCUGAGAGGGUAAUCGGCCACAUUGGGACUGAGACACGGCCCAAACUCCUACGGGAGGCAGCAGUAGGGAAUCUUCCACAAUGGACGAAAGUCUGAUGGAGCAACGCCGCGUGAGUGAAGAAGGGUUUCGGCUCGUAAAACUCUGUUGUUAAAGAAGAACAUAUCUGAGAGUAACUGUUCAGGUAUUGACGGUAUUUAACCAGAAAGCCACGGCUAACUACGUGCCAGCAGCCGCGGUAAUACGUAGGUGGCAAGCGUUGUCCGGAUUUAUUGGGCGUAAAGCGAGCGCAGGCGGUUUUUUAAGUCUGAUGUGAAAGCCUUCGGCUCAACCGAAGAAGUGCAUCGGAAACUGGGGAACUUGAGUGCAGAAGAGGACAGUGGAACUCCAUGUGUAGCGGUGAAAUGCGUAGAUAUAUGGAAGAACACCAGUGGCGAAGGCGGCUGUCUGGUCUGUAACUGACGCUGAGGCUCGAAAGUAUGGGUAGCAAACAGGAUUAGAUACCCUGGUAGUCCAUACCGUAAACGAUGAAUGCUAAGUGUUGGAGGGUUUCCGCCCUUCAGUGCUGCAGCUAACGCAUUAAGCAUUCCGCCUGGGGAGUACGGCCGCAAGGCUGAAACUCAAAGGAAUUGACGGGGGCCCGCACAAGCGGUGGAGCAUGUGGUUUAAUUCGAAGCUACGCGAAGAACCUUACCAGGUCUUGACAUACUAUGCAAAUCUAAGAGAUUAGACGUUCCCUUCGGGGACAUGGAUACAGGUGGUGCAUGGUUGUCGUCAGCUCGUGUCGUGAGAUGUUGGGUUAAGUCCCGCAACGAGCGCAACCCUUAUUAUCAGUUGCCAGCAUUAAGUUGGGCACUCUGGUGAGACUGCCGGUGACAAACCGGAGGAAGGUGGGGAUGACGUCAAAUCAUCAUGCCCCUUAUGACCUGGGCUACACACGUGCUACAAUGGAUGGUACAACGAGUUGCGAACUCGCGAGAGUAAGCUAAUCUCUUAAAGCCAUUCUCAGUUCGGAUUGUAGGCUGCAACUCGCCUACAUGAAGUCGGAAUCGCUAGUAAUCGCGGAUCAGCAUGCCGCGGUGAAUACGUUCCCGGGCCUUGUACACACCGCCCGUCACACCAUGAGAGUUUGUAACACCCAAAGUCGGUGGGGUAACCUUUUAGGAACCAGCCGCCUAAGGUGGGACAGAUGAUUAGGGUG
rnacentral:rRNA from 1 species